GCAUAUGUGGUGUAGUGGUUUGAGCACUGGACUAUGACUCUGGACACCAGGGUUCAAUUCCCUGCUCAGCCA